UGGACCAUCUAAGAGUUCUA
rnacentral:snRNA from 1 species